rnacentral:lncRNA from 1 species
CACUGUACGCAGUUUCCUGAAAUGUUCCUUUCAUUGAUGUGAUAAGUUUCCCGCGCUUUAGCAAUUUUAUGAAAUUGAACUCCACGGAAACACUUCCGGUAAAAACAAUGGCUGAUUCCACCAUUCAAAAUCGUCUAUGAAAAAGUGAAGGUCAGGAUUAUUACAGUGCGAUCACUUGAAAGGUAGGUCAGUAGUGGUUUUUUUUUUUGCGAUUUAUGAAUGGAAUGUGAAAAACUAUAUCUCGAGUGAACGAGAUUGACAGUUUAGAUUAUUUUUACCGAUAACCGCUACGAAUUUCAGCUGACGGCGACUAUAGU